rnacentral:sRNA from 1 species
UAAAACGACCGUAGACAGUAGGUGCCGUAUGGCUUAAAGCAAUACCUACCGAGGAAGUGACUAAGUACGUUGAUGUAUUCUCACUCUCUGUCUGCAUGUCAGAGAGUUUUUUAAUG